CCUCUUGAUGCCUCUUUCAAUGUUGCCAAGGAGUCUUGAUUCCCUUUUAUGUACAUGGAUACCGAUUAAUUCCUCACUCAACUGUUUUUUCUUUGGAAGCAGUGAUCUUUGAUUGUGGGAAAAUGUCUCUGAAAGAAGCAAGAGAAUACACCAAGUCAUUUUUCAAAUUAAUCAUCAAUAUAUCUACAGCUCACUGGAAGCUCAGCGCAAUUUUCC